rnacentral:rRNA from 1 species
UGAGUAACCUGCCCUUAACUCUGGUAUAAGCCUGGGAAACUGGGUCUAAUACCGGAUAUGACUCCUCAUCGCAUGGGUGGGGGGUGGAAAGCUUUUUGUGGUUUUGGAUGGACUCGCGGCCUAUCAGCUUGUUGGUGGGGUAAUGGCUCACCAAGGCGACGACGGGUAGCCGGCCUGAGAGGGUGACCGGCCACACUGGGACUGAGACACGGCCCAGACUCCUACGGGAGGCAG